rnacentral:rRNA from 1 species
CCUACGGGCGGCAGCAGUGAGGAAUAUUGGUCAAUGGACGAGAGUCUGAACCAGCCAAGUAGCGUGAAGGAUGACUGCCCUAUGGGUUGUAAACUUCUUUUAUAUGGGAAUAAAAUGUUCCAUGUGUGGGAUUUUGUAUGUACCAUAUGAAUAAGGAACGGCCAACUCCGUGCCAGAAGCCGCGGUAAUACGGAGGAUGCGAGCGUUAACCGGGUUUAUUGGGGUUUAAGGGAGCGAUGGGGGAUUUUUAAGUCAGUUGUGAAAGUUGGCGGGCUAACCGUAGAACUGCAGUGGAAAUGGGGGUUCUUGAGUAUGGGAGAGGUAGGCGGAAUUGUUGGUGUAGGGGG